UACAGAGGUCUCAAGCGUUGUUCGGAUUCAUUGGGCGUAAAGGGUGCGUAGGUGGCGCCGUAAGUCGGGUGUGAAAUUUCGGAGCUUAACUCCGAAACUGCAUUCGAUACUGCGGUGCUUGAGGACUGGAGAGGAGACUGGAAUUCAUGGUGUAGCAGUGAAAUGCGUAGAGAUCCGGAGGAACACCAGGAGGCAGAAGGCGGCCUGACUGG
rnacentral:rRNA from 1 species